GUUGGCUCGAGGAGAAGGGAGGCGGGAGAGACACAGGAAGCAAUACUGCGCCCGAGCAGGUCCGGCGCUCCCCAUUGCGCGCUCGGGAGAAAUGUUCCUGAAUAUGAGAUGUUCUGUGUCGUAUCUGUGAGUAGCCGUCAGCAAGAAUAAAUUGGUUCUCAGGUUCAAAGUUGGGAAUACCUUGUAUCUAGUACUAUUUUCAGUCCUCGUUUUCUCUUUGUAAGUUCGAGAAUGCUCAGUUUUUCACAUUCCUGUAAAUGCUGUGAGCCUCCUAGGAUGCAUUCAGGACAGCUCUAAUAUUUGGCUGUUGAUGACUCCAGUGCAUGGAGUGGCUCCGUUAACUCAUGGACUUAAUCUGUGCAGUAUUAUAGAAAUAUACAGAAUCAUCGUAUUCAGUGUCUAACAUGCAAAAUUAGAAAUUUUUGGAAACAUACCUUUUUAAAAUUAAUGUCAGAUAAUAAAGACAAAAAGAACAUACAAUAAAAAAUGUAAUCUUUAUUAUUUUGGCGCAUUAAUGAUGUUAUUUAGCAUCAGUUAGGGUAAUAGUAGCAUUUUCCUGCAUGCAGUUCACUAAUAUAGUAUUAGUCAAUAAUCUUAAUAAAAGUAAUCUAUAUUUAAUUUUCCUGUGUAAGAAACAUAAAAUGUCCUGAUGUGUUGAUUAAACAAUUUUGCUACUUUCUCUUUGUGAAAAAAUACUGUGGACCCAAGAUAACAUUUAGAACUGUUCUAGUGCAGUGUGAAUAAUAAUAA